GUGUCACUCACUGAUUAAAGAUCUCAGCUUGAGAGAGUUUGCGUAACAUUUGUAUGCACAUAAUCAGUUAUAAGAUAUUCCUCUAACUGUAAAUAAGUACUGACCUGCACUGUAAUGUACUAAAGUAAGUAUAAUAUAUAAAGAUUAAAACACUUGGUUUGAUGGUGCAAUAUGGAGAUGAUGCAGAUAUUUUACCUUGUGUGUGGAUGUUACGUGCUGUGUUUGUCGGCUCUGUGUUUUUUUUUUGUUGUUCUUUCCCGCUCUCUCUCUUUGCUCCGCUAUCUGACUCCUCAGAUCCCUGCCAUUGGACACCUUUUCUGUCAAUCCUCAUUACCCUGUGUGACGUCACUCGUUGAUUCACCAAUCAACGCCCGAUCCCGCCUAUUUAAACCCGCCACCAUUCAUUCAUGAAGUUGGUUCGCUCGUGUUCCGGUUGAACUUGACCCUGCUUUGAUAACGUGUGCUGAUUUGUGCGUUGCGUUGCGUUGCGUUGCGUUGCGUUGCGUUGCGUUGCGUUGCGUUGCGUUGCGUUGCGUUGCGUUGCGUUUUUCCGUUGUAUGUCAUACUGUUCAUGUAGCCCAACUCGUUAGUCACUCGUUCUGCGUAUGUAUGUUAGUGUUCAUUCGCCCUGUGUGUGACAUUGUGUAUAUUGGGGGAAGUGGACAGAUUAUGAUGGAGAAAUGCUGCUAAAGCAAGCAAGGCUUGGCUUUGUGUGUUUUUUCUCUUGACGAAGCCAUGAAUGUGAAGAUGUUGGAGAGAAGGCUGCUGCAUGUGGCUUUGUCUAAUGUGUCGUGUAUCCUGGUUCAAGAAUAUGACACGUGUCAAAAUCUCUAUUUGUUUCUACUGCAUAAUUAAACAACAGAUACAUUUCCUCCUCCUUAGACAGACAAAUAGAGCAUCAGUCACAUCAUCUUUACUUUAUUGCACCAGUCAGCUUUGUACGUGCAUACACGCAUACACACACACACCUACACACACACACGGAUUUAGGAAAUCAGGUCAUAAACUCACACAGAAACAUUAGGAUAAGAUAAUGAGCACGAAAAAAGAGUGAAAAAAUCCAGAAGACUCCAUAAAACAUUUGAAAUAAACCAGAUUGAGGGCCACAAAUGAAGGAACAGUUCACAGACAAUACAAACAAGGACCUUUAUACCAAAACAAACCAACAAAGAAAGAAAGACAGAAUUUAUACAACACUGUAUUCACCAAUUUUCCCCAAACAUAUUUCCAUUCAAUCCAGCACACAUUACAGCAGUCUGUAGGGUGAAGGUUAUCACGUUCUUCCACAAAACAUCAUGAAGGAGCUCUCUCUGGAUUGGGUCCGUGGGGAACUGACGGCUUUGUCGCUGAAGCUGGGGGACUGGGGCUCUUUCUCAGUAGGGGUGUCUGGAAGAGAAUCUCUGUCUGUGAUACAUGGGGCGAUGCUUUGCUGCCGCUUCAGCAUCAAUGAAGAGGACACACCCUAAAACAAAACAGUCACUCAAUAUGCCUUAUAUAUGGUGUAUUAACACUGAACUUCACCUACAUACAGAUCAACUUAUUGUCUGUGUGAUUAUUCCACAUCCUGGCACAGCACCUCUAGUAUCUAGAUUUGAGAUCUUCAUAUUGAUCCUAAAUGGAUUUAGUUCAGAUAAUGAUAAAGCUGAAGUAGUAAAAAGGUUCAAUUUUGUGAUGGAUUAUAAACUGUAUAAUUAUAUAACAAAGACUCACCUCUUUCACCUUCUUCAUUAACUUCAGCCACUGGCUGUGGAAGAAAAUCAAAAAAUUCAAAAAAUCAGAAAUCGACUUUCAGUUCAAUUUGCAACACAAUGCCUAGGGUUUAAUGGGAUGAAAAUUCCUUAUUACAUAUCACUCAUUCUCAUUCUGGGAUUAACAUCCUA